rnacentral:rRNA from 1 species
GACGAACGCGGCGGCGUGCCUAAUACAUGCAAGUAGAACGCUGAAGGAGGAGCUUGCUUCUCUGGAUGAGUUGCGAACGGGUGAGUAACGCGUAGGUAACCUGCCUGGUAGCGGGGGAUAACUAUUGGAAACGAUAGCUAAUACCGCAUAAGAGUAGAUGUUGCAUGACAUUUGCUUAAAAGGUGCAAUUGCAUCACUACCAGAUGGACCUGCGUUGUAUUAGCUAGUUGGUGAGGUAACGGCUCACCAAGGCAACGAUACAUAGCCGACCUGAGAGGGUGAUCGGCCACACUGGGACUGAGACACGGCCCAGACUCCUACGGGAGGCAGCAGUAGGGAAUCUUCGGCAAUGGACGGAAGUCUGACCGAGCAACGCCGCGUGAGUGAAGAAGGUUUUCGGAUCGUAAAGCUCUGUUGUAAGAGAAGAACGAGUGUGAGAGUGGAAAGUUUCA